rnacentral:rRNA from 1 species
ACUCCUACGGGAGGCAGCAGUAAGGAAUAUUGGUCAAUGGACGAAAGUCUGAACCAGCCAUGCCGCGUGAAGGAUGACGGCCCUCUGGGUUGUAAACUUCUUUUAUCUGGGACGAAAAAAGAUCAUUCUUGAUCACUUGACGGUACCAGAGGAAUAAGCACCGGCUAACUCCGUGCCAGCAGCCGCGGUAAU